UACAGAGGGUGCAAGCGUUAAUCGGAAUUACUGGGCGUAAAGCGCGCGUAGGUGGUUCGUUAAGUUGGAUGUGAAAUCCCCGGGCUCAACCUGGGAACUGCAUUCAAAACUGUCGAGCUAGAGUAUGGUAGAGGGUGGUGGAAUUUCCUGUGUAGCGGUGAAAUGCGUAGAUAUCAGGAGGAAUACCGGUGGCGAAAGCGACUCUCUGGACGGCAACUGACGCUGAGGCACGAAAGCGUGGGGAGCAAACAGG
rnacentral:rRNA from 1 species